AUGAUCAAAUUGAGAAAUAUGUUGGGUGCUACAGAAAUUGUUGCCACUUGUGGUCUGCCAUUCUUGCCAUCUAUUUGUAUAGUAGUGUCGGUGCAACGAACCUUGGGUCUGUUGCCCAGACCGUGCACAGGCAUAAGAGCAAGAUUGCAACAUCCAAGACUAGACCAAGCAAAAGAGAUCGACUCUUUGAGGAAUCAGAGUGCGGAUCAAGAAGACCAAGUCAAGCCAAAAGAACAAGAUAUCACUAAGGGAAAACCUCCCUUGCCGGGCAGGCGAGCCUGGCGAGGUCGAGGUUGCUUCGAAGAAAAGUCUCAAAAUUGUCCCGGCAGGCUUGCCGGGGACACCAAGGGCGGACUACCCCGCCAAGGCUUCACCGUUCCACCUCACAGCAAUGCAAGUCAUCGAUCGGUGCGGUGUCAAGCCCCCAAGUGA
rnacentral:rRNA from 1 species